rnacentral:rRNA from 1 species
CCUACGGGUGGCACCAGUGGGGAAUAUUGCACAAUGGGCGCAAGCCUGAUGCAGCCAUGCCGCGUGUGUGAAGAAGGCCUUCGGGUUGUAAAGCACUUUCAGCGGGGAGGAAGGCGGUGAGGUUAAUAACCUCAUCGAUUGACGUUACCCGCAGAAGAAGCACCGGCUAACUCCGUGCCAGCAGCCGCGGUAAUACGGAGGAUGCAAGCGUUAAUCGGAAUUACUGGGCGUAAAGCACACGCAGGCGGUCUGUCAAGUCGGAUGUGAAAUCCCCGGGCUCAACCUGGGAACUGCAUUCGAAACUGGCAGGCAAGAGUCUUGUAGAGGGGGGUAGAAUUCCAGGUGUAGCGGUGAAAUGCGUAGAGAUCUGGAGGAAUACCGGUGGCGAAGGCGGCCCCCUGGACAAAGACUGACGCUCAGGUGCGAUAGCGUGGGGAGCAAACAGGAUUAGAUACCCCCGUAGU